AAAAAGAUAAGCUAAAUAAAGCUAUUGGGCUCAUACCUCACUUAUAAAGGUUUUACUCCUUUUCUUUUUA
rnacentral:tRNA from 1 species